ACUGUCAAUCUUUUGUGAGAAACCCAUAAGAGCAGAAGAUGGGUCGCUCAGCAGCAGUACCUGGAUUUGGGAACUCAUUACUGGUGGAGAUUAGGAUGACCACAAAUCUCUCUGGCUUUAAAGCAAAGCAAAGCGAAAAACUUACUUCCUUGGCUUAGUUCUCACUUUUUCAUGUUCUCCAGAUGAAGGUGAGAAAGAAGAAGAGAGAGGAAAGAAGCAAAGGAAAAAGGAAGACUGAGAGAAGAAAGCAAACAGAGGGAAGAGAUGGGAAGAUGGUAGACAAUGCCCUUAGAAGGACCCUCACUGAGAGAUUUAGAAGAGGAAACUCUGGAUUUCAGCGCUUAACUUCAAGGAAACCAAGACUGUUCUUCUUCAUUGGAAAAAUGGGAAGACAGCUCUCAGAGAAGGGAAUGGGUGCCCAGAUCGCAACUUGUUUGAAGCAUUGCCACCCAAAAAGACACAAGCAAACAGACUUCAGGACUUCCAGUGAAGACAACCAGAAAAACAGUGCUAACCAAAGCGUUCUAAAAGGAAACAGUGAGGAAGGUCUCUUCAGAAGUGCAAAACUCAACUAAAAUAAAACUCUAAUGAAGAAACA
rnacentral:lncRNA from 1 species